UCCAAAUAUUUCCAUUUUCUUUACCCUAGCUCCCUAAGAAAAUUCUGGAGAAGACUCUGGUGUCCUCUAAGUAUGGAGUUUUCACCAUAUGGAAAAGAAAUAGUAAAAUCCAUCACCAAAAUGAUGGAUUCCUUGAAAACAUCCUUGCGAGUCAAGUUGCUGCAUUAAAAAAAAAUCCUCCCCAAUGAAAGAGAAGAUAAAGAAGAAAAGAGGAAAAGAGAAGAGGGACAAAGAGAAUCACUUCCAGGUCAGUAAUAGUUAAGAGCAAAGGCAUUCAAGUCCCUGUUAAGUCAUAUGUUAGGACUUGUAGAUUAUUGACAAAAAGAAUCAUGGAUUGUCCUUAGUUAAAUAUAUUCUUAGAGCUAGUUACAUAAUUCAAGGUGUCCACCAGAAUUGUAGUAAGACACAUAUAAUGUUAUAAGAACAG
rnacentral:lncRNA from 1 species